rnacentral:rRNA from 1 species
AUUGAACGCUGGCGGCAGGCCUAACACAUGCAAGUCGAACGAGUGGCGGACGGGUGAGUAAUGUCUGGGAAACUGCCUGAUGGAGGGGGAUAACUACUGGAAACGGUAGCUAAUACCGCAUACCAUCGGAUGUGCCCAGAUGGGAUUAGCUAGUAGGUGGGGUAAAGGCUCACCUAGGCGACGAUCCCUAGCUGGUCUGAGAGGAUGACCAGCCACACUGGAACUUGGACGCGGUCAAGACUCCUACGGUAGGCAGCAGGGGGGAAUAUGGCACAAUGGGCGCAAGCGGAAGGCAGCCAUGCGGCGUGGAUGAAGAAGGCCUUGGGGUGGUAAAGUACGUUCAGCGGGGAGGCGUUACCCGCAGAAGAAGCACCGGCUAACUCCGUGCCAGCAGCCGCGGUAAUAC